UACGUAGGGAGCGAGCGUUGUCCGGAAUCAUUGGGCGUAAAGCGCGUGUAGGCGGCUUGAUAAGUCUGGUGUGAAAUCUUGGGGCUCAACCCCAAGCCUGCACUGGAUACUGUCAAGCUUGAGUCCGGGAGGGGAGAGCGGAAUUCCUAGUGUAGCGGUGAAAUGCGCAGAUAUUAGGAAGAACACCGGUGGCGAAGGCGGCUCUCUGGAACGGUACUGACGCUGAGACGCGAAAGCGUGGGGAGCGAACAGG
rnacentral:rRNA from 1 species